UACGUAGGGUCCUAGCGUUGUCCGGAAUUAUUGGGCGUAAAGAGCUCGUAGGCGGCGUGUCGCGUCGGAUGUGAAAGCCCGGGGCUUAACUCCGGGUCUGCAUUCGGUACGGGCAUGCUGGAGUUCGGUAGGGGAGACUGGAAUUCCUGGUGGAGCGGUGAAAUGCGUAGAUCUUGGAAAGACCACCAAUGGCGAAGGCACUCUACUGGGCCAUUACUGACACUAAGAGACGAAAGCUAGGGGAGCAAAUGGG
rnacentral:rRNA from 1 species